GUGGGGAAUCUUGCGCAAUGGGCGAAAGCCUGACGCAGCCAUGCCGCGUGAAUGAUGAAGGUCUUAGGAUUGUAAAAUUCUUUCACCGGGGACGAUAAUGACGGUACCCGGAGAAGAAGCCCCGGCUAACUUCGUGCCAGCAGCCGCGGUAAUACGAAGGGGGCUAGCGUUGCUCGGAAUUACUGGGCGUAAAGGGCGCGUAGGCGGACAGUUUAGUCAGAGGUGAAAGCCCAGGGCUCAACCUUGGAAUUGCCUUUGAUACUGGCUGUCUUGAGUACGGGAGAGGUGAGUGGAACUCCGAGUGUAGAGGUGAAAUUCGUAGAUAUUCGGAAGAACACCAGUGGCGAAGGCGACACACUGGCCCGUUACUGACGCUGAGGCGCGAAAGCGUGGGGAGCAAACAGGAUUAGAAACCCUUGUAGUCC
rnacentral:rRNA from 1 species